UCCUGCCGGACCUGACUGCUAUCGGAUUGAUACUAAGCCAUGCGAGUCUUUGUAGUAAUACAAGGCAUACGGCUCAGUAACACGUAGUCAACCUACCCUAUGGACGAGAAUAAUCUCGGGAAACUGAGCAUAAUUCUUGAUAGAUCAUAAUGCCUGGAAUGGUUUAUGGUUGAAAUGAUUCGUCGCCAUAGGAUGGGACUGCGGCCUAUCAGCUUGUUGGUGAGGUAAUGGCCCACCAAGGCGAUAACAGGUACGGGCUCUGAGAGGAGAAGCCCGGAGAUGGGUACUGAGACACGGACCCAGGCCCUAUGGGGCGCAGCAGGCGAGAAAACUUUGCAAUGUGCGAAAGCACGACAAGGUUAAUCCGAGUGAUUUCUGCUAAAGAAAUCUUUUACCAGUCAUAAAACCACUGAUGAAUAAGGGGUGGGCAAGUUCUGGUGUCAGCCGCCGCGGUAAAACCAGCACCUCAAGUGGUCAGGAUGAUUAUUGGGCCUAAAGCAUCCGUAGCCGGCUUUGUUAGUUUUCGGUUAAAUCCAUGUGCUCAACGCAUGGGCUGCCGAAAAUACUGCAUAGCUAGGGAGUGGGAGAGGUAGACGGUACUCAGUAGGAAGGGGUAAAAUCCUUUGAUCUAUUGAUGACCACCUGUGGCGAAGGCGGUCUACCAGAACACGUUCGACGGUGAGGGAUGAAAGCUGGGGGAGCAAACCGGAUUAGAUACCCGGGUAGUCCCAGCUGUAAACGAUGCAGACUCGAUGAUGCAUUGGCAUAAUAGCCAGUGCAGUGUCGCAGGGAAGCCGUUAAGUCUGCCGCCUGGGAAGUACGUACGCAAGUAUGAAACUUAAGGAAUUGGCGGGG
rnacentral:rRNA from 1 species